rnacentral:lncRNA from 1 species
GGUCCUGGGUCACUUUGAGAAGCCACUUAUCCUGGAACUUUGCAAACACAUGGUGUUUGUGUAGCUUCUGGAAGGGGAGUACGUCUUCCGGCCAGGGGAGCCAGAUACCAGCAUCUAUGUGGUGCAGGACGGGCGGCUGGAGGUCUACAUCCAGGAUUCGUGUGAAAUCAAGUGGAGUAUCUGGAUUAUUCUCAGGAGUGUCUCUGUGCACAGAUAAGCCUCCUCCAGCUCCAUUUUGCACCACCGUCUUAUGCAAAUUUCCUUGUAUGUCUUCUCCCCUGAGCGGCGAGGCCACCUGUGUAGGCCAGCACACCGCGGAGAGAAACGUGGUGAGCCAAACUAUGGGCCUUCGGAGUGCAAAAUUUAAAUUUUUUGUUCUUUGGAGGAAAAGGCACAUUGGACCACAGCUGCCCUUGAAGCAGGUGUGUCAGCUUCUGCUGUACAGGGGCUGCGCGUGGUGGCUCACCUCUGCAUUUCCCCAGACACAUUGCAAGCACUUUUUAAAAAUUAAUUAAUUUAUUUAUUUAUUUAUUUUUGGCUGUGUUGGAUCUUUGUUGCUGUGCGUGGGCUUUCUCUAGUUGCAGCGAGCAGGGGCUACUCUUUGUUGCGGUGCGUGGGCUUCUCACUGCUGUGGCUUCUCUUGUUGCAGAGCACAGGCUCUAGGUGCGCAGGGUUCAGUAGUUGUGGCUCGCGGACUCUAGAGCGGAGGCUCGGUAGUUGUGGCACAUGGGCUUCGUUGCUCCGUGGCAUGUGGGAUCUUCCCGGACCAGGGCUCGAACCCGUGUCCCCUGCGUUGGCAGGCGGACUCUCAACCACUGCGCCACCAGGGAAGCCCACAUCACAAGCAUCUUGCCGUGUCUCUCCCACUGCCUUGGAACCCCUCAGUGGUUGGGUAUUGAUCUAUGAUGAUCAUUAGCACCCUUGCCUUAUUUUUGGGUUUCAGGCUGUAAAUAGUUUUAACUCUAAGAAAAUAAUUCAGCUGGAAGCUACCUCUUUGUUUCCUGCCUUUGUUGACUUAUAUGCUUGAGUCACAGUUGCCAGGGCCACCUAUAGACCCGGACUCCUGAGGGCUUGUGGGUUUAUUUGCCUGCUGGUGGGUGACGCAGCCUCCCGCCGCAGACACAGUGAACCCUGGAGUUCACAAGGUCGCCCCCACCCUGGCCACGUGACGUUCCCGCCUGCCGGGCCCUGGGUGGGCCCUGACCUCGCACAGCUCCUGCAUGGUCUUUGGGCUGCUAGACCACAGUGUCGUCAGGGUACAGGUCUCACGUGUGUCUCUUUGUCUGCGGGUGACCUGGUGGGACAAUUAGAAAAGGCAUGGCUUUCGUCCAGUCUCCUCGGGGCGGGGCCUCCAUGUCAUCCACCUGGCAGGCCUUCACCAAGAGGGCCGGAGCCUUUGGGCCAGAUGGAAGGGCUCCUGGACAGUGAGACCAGUGCCAGGUUUGAAGAAGUUCACAGCGGUUCCCUGGGUCACACUGAGGUGAAGUUCCCAUACUAAAUCACCAGCAUCACAUGGUUUUCUUUUUCUUUUAAUCCAGUGGAAAAAUAUGUCAAAAUGCUAUUAUUUAUACUGGUGGCUAGGGUUUGCAUUUCCCUAAUGACUAAAGAUGUUGAGCACCUUUUCAUGUGUUCAUUGGCCUGUUGUGAACCUUUUUCAUUUGAUGUAGAAAUGAUCACUUUCAAAAGCUUUGAUUUAGAGCUAUUGUUAAUUUGUAAUUGUGAUAAUUGUAUCAUUGUUGUGAUAUUUUAGAGAUACGAGUUCAACUAUUAAUGGAUAAAAUGCUAUGUUUGGGAUUGUCUUCAAAAUUUUGGGGGUAUGUGUGUGAAAUAAGAUGGGUGGAGCUGGGUGAUGGGAAGGGGGGGUCCACUGUACUCUUCUCUCUACUUUCGUGUAUCUUUGAAAUUUUCCAUAAUAAAAUGUGGUUUGUAAAAUUAACUCCAGUUGGGCUUCCCUGGUGGCGCAGUGGUUGAGAGUCCACCUGCCGAUGCAGGGGACACGGGUUCGUGCCCCAGUCUGGGAAGAUCCCACGUGCCGCGGAGCGGCUGGGCCCGUGAGCCAUGGCCGCUGAGCCUGCGCGUCCAG